rnacentral:rRNA from 1 species
AUUGAACGCUGGCGGCAUGCCUUACACAUGCAAGUCGAACGGCAGCAUGGAGAGCUUGCUCUCUGAUGGCGAGUGGCGAACGGGUGAGUAAUGCAUCGGAACGUACCGUGUAAUGGGGGAUAACGUAGCGAAAGUUACGCUAAUACCGCAUACGACCUGAGGGUGAAAGCAGGGGAUCGCAAGACCUUGCGUUAUACGAGCGGCCGAUGUCAGAUUAGCUAGUUGGUAGGGUAAAGGCCUACCAAGGCGACGAUCUGUAGCGGGUCUGAGAGGAUGAUCCGCCACACUGGGACUGAGACACGGCCCAGACUCCUACGGGAGGCAGCAGUGGGGAAUUUUGGACAAUGGGGGCAACCCUGAUCCAGCCAUGCCGCGUGAGUGAAGAAGGCCUUCGGGUUGUAAAGCUCUUUCGGCCGGGAAGAAAUCGCACAGGCUAAUACUCUGUGUGGAUGACGGUACCGGCAUAAGAAGCACCGGCUAACUACGUGCCAGCCGCCGAGGUAA